AGCUCUGAGGUGUUUCACACGCUGGUUUGCAAACCCAGAAUAGAAAACUAACGUUUUCCGGGGCUU
rnacentral:tRNA from 1 species